rnacentral:tRNA from 1 species
UCCCUGGUGGCUCAGAGGGUAGAGCGUCUGCCUGCAAUGCGGGAGACCUGGCUUUGAUCCCUGGCUUGGGAA